rnacentral:pre_miRNA from 1 species
UGUGGGAUUGCUGGGUCAAAUGGUGGGUUCAUUCCAAGUUUUCUGAGAAAUCUCUGUACUGCUUUCCAUAGUGGUUGCACCAAUUUGCAGUCUCACCAGCAAU